rnacentral:rRNA from 1 species
UACAGAGGGGGCAAGCGUUGUUCGGAAUUACUGGGCGUAAAGGGCGCGUAUGCGGCCUGCUAAGUCGAACGUGAAAUCCCCGGGCUCAACCCGGGAACUGCGUCCGAUACUGGCUGGCUUGAAUCCGGGAGAGGGAUGCGGAAUUCCAGGUGUAGCGGUGAAAUGCGUAGAUAUCUGGAGGAACACCAAUGGCGAAGGCAGCUUGCUGGGACGGUACUGACGCUGAGACGCGAAAGCGUGGGGAGCAAACAGG